rnacentral:rRNA from 1 species
ACGGAAGGCAGCAGUGGGGAAUAUUGGGCAAUGGGCGAAAGCCUGACCCAGCAACGCCGCGUGAAGGAAGAAGGUUUUCGGAUUGUAAACUUCUUUUAUCAGGGACGAAGAAAGUGACGGUACCUGAUGAAUAAGCCACGGCUAACUACGUGCCAGCAGCCGCGGUAAUACGUAGGUGGCAAGCGUUAUCCGGAUUUACUGGGUGCAAAGGGCGCGUAGGCGGGGAUGCAAGUCGGGUGUGAAAUCUAUGGGCUUAACCCAUAAACUGCAUUCGAAACUGUAUCUCUUGAGUGUCGGAGAGGUAGACGGAAUUCCUAGUGUAGCGGUGAAAUGCGUAGAUAUUAGGAGGAACACCAGUGGCGAAGGCGGUCUACUGGACGAUAACUGACGCUGAGGCGCGAAAGCGUGGGGAGCAAACAGGAUUAGAUACCCUGGUA